rnacentral:rRNA from 1 species
UACGUAGGGUGCAAGCGUUGUCCGGAAUUAUUGGGCGUAAAGAGCUCGUAGGCGGUUUGUCGCGUCUGCUGUGAAAACUCGGGGCUCAACUCCGAGCUUGCAGUGGGUACGGGCAGACUAGAGUGCGGUAGGGGAGACUGGAAUUCCUGGUGUAGCGGUGAAAUGCGCAGAUAUCAGGAGGAACACCGGUGGCGAAGGCGGGUCUUUGGGCCGAUACUGACGCUGAGGAGCGAAAGCGUGGGGAGCGAACAGG